rnacentral:lncRNA from 1 species
AGAUUGGCUCUAAGGAGAAGGCUGACGGCUGCAGCAUGAAGCGCAUUAUUACCUUGUGAUUCCAUGACCCUCCUCUAUGCAUCCCUAACUCUCGAAAGCUGAUUCAGCUUUCAGCUAGUGCUCUGGUGACUCCACUGCUGCAACAGAAUCUUCUAACUGGUAUGUUACAGGCAUCUUCAGCUGUCAUGGAGUUCAACUGGAUGACAUUUAAAUUUUUUUUUAAAGCCAACCCCCAAGCCCCAAAAGGCAUGUCAUUUCUUUCCGGGGUUUCGUAUCUGCAAGGUAGUGUUUCACUUACAAUGACCUGCAAAGGAAAAAUCUCUGGAGUCUCUAGGUGGAAAUGCUCAUCAGGACAUUAAAUAUUCAAUAUGCUGACUGCGGCAUGGGCUUUGAAAGGCAACGCCAGAAGAAAGCUUGCUGUCCACUUGUGUUUUUUAACAAGGGUAGAGGCCAACUGCUCUUUUUUAUUUGUUUGUACCUCCCCCCCCCACCUCAAAAAAAGUAGACUAGAUGCCAGCAAAGCAGACUGAGCUUGAAAUUGAGAAAAGAGAGAAAGGGAUUGGAUAGGAGAAUAGAGGGGACAGAGAGAGAGAGAGAAUACAAUGAUUCUGCCUUAGCUGUGCAGUAUUUUAGCUCUACAUUAAUGUACAAACUAAGUUCUCAUGUUUAAAAGCAGCAGGAAAAGAUAUCCUAAUCGUCUUUAUGAUGAAUUCAAUUAACAGCCAUCAAAACAAUUUAAACGUAGCUAAAGCACAAGCAGCCCUAAAUAUGUGCAUAUAUUUCCCCCAAAAGAAUAAUAAAAUUAGCAGGCUUGAAUUCGGGAAGUCUUAU